rnacentral:rRNA from 1 species
UCAGGCCUAACACAUGCAAGUCGAACGGCAGCACGGACUUCGGUCUGGUGGCGAGUGGCGAACGGGUGAGUAAUGUAUCGGAACGUGCCUAGUAGCGGGGGAUAACUACUCGAAAGAGUAGCUAAUACCGCAUACGCCCUACGGGGGAAAGGGGGGGAUCGCAAGACCUCUCACUAUUAGAGCGGCCGAUAUCGGAUUGGCUAGUUGGUGAGGUAAAGGCUCACCAAGGCGACGAUCCGUAGCUGGUUUGAGAGGACGACCAGCCACACUGGGACUGAGACACGGCCCAGACUCCUACGGGAGGCAGCAGUGGGGAAUUUUGGACAAUGGGGGCAACCCUGAUCCAGCCAUUCCGCGUGUGCGAUGAAGGCCUUCGGGUUGUAAAGCAAUGUGGCAGGAAAGAAAUCGCACGGGUUAAUAACCCGUGUGGAUGA